GCUUCUGUGGAUUAGCGGUAAUCGCCUCGAUCAUAUAUAUAAGUUGCAUGGAAACUGAUUUCUCGAGGAGGUGUGGGUUCGAAUCCCACCAGAGGCA